rnacentral:tRNA from 1 species
GGAUAGCUCUAUUGGUAGAGUGCUUGCCUCUCAUGCACAAGGUUCUGGAUUCAAUCCCCAGUACCA